UACGAAGGGGGCUAGCGUUACUCGGAUUGACUGGGCGUAAAGGGUGCGUAGGCGGCACUGUUAGUCAGGCGUGAAAGUCCUGGGCUCAACCUGGGAACUGCGCUUGAUACGGCAGAGCUAGAGGAUGGAAGAGGCUCGCGGAAUUCCCAGUGUAGAGGUGAAAUUCGUAGAUAUUGGGAAGAACACCGGUGGCGAAGGCGGCGAGCUGGUCCAUUACUGACGCUGAGGCGCGACAGCGUGGGGAGCAAACAGG
rnacentral:rRNA from 1 species